AAUGGAUAGCCUGCUGCAGUGCUGGGGAUGGGACUAGAGGACUGGAUUUGGAGGAGAAGAGGGAGAAUCAAGCUCUGAAGUUCACCUAUUUGCUUGCCUAGCCUACUUGCUUCUUCGACAGGCUUGCCUGGAGGGUUUCUAAAGAAUAUCUGCUGGAGUCAGAGAACUGGAUAAUAGAAUGUGUGAGGAGGCUGGUUGGAGGAGAAUAUCUUCUUGAUCUGUUGGAGAUGCAGGUAAAACCCUGCAUAUGAUUAUAUUUAAUUAACAUCAUGACAA
rnacentral:lncRNA from 1 species